GAAGCAACUGUAGAGGCAUUAGUGAAUGAUUCUUCACAACCUGUGUCCAAUUGCCUGCUGGGAAACUAGCCUCGAAAGGGCCUUUGUUUCGCAGAGGUGAUUCGGGUUCCUUUCAAGAGAGCUUGCUGCUGCUGGGUGAUCCAUGGAGCUCUGCUAUGGUGGACAGUUACCCCUCAGGAACACCUGGCAAGUGACACCUGCUGGUCCUGGCUUUACUGCUCUUCUCUCCAUCUUUGGAACCACGGCUGGGAGGAAAGAACCAGCUAUGGAAUAGGGCAGCUGCCUGCUUCUCUGAUCUGAACAAGCAAGAUCAACAUUCUCAGAAAGCAACAAAGUGAGACAAUCCUUUUCUCUGGAUCAGGGAUAGGGCAAGCCUACAGGGCUACAGGGAAGGGCACCAAAACAUCCCCAUUUCCAAGGGCUGAACUCUGGAGGCCUGAGGUCCACCCUACCUACUCACCCUUUCAACUCAAAGCCUUUUUAAUCUUAAGAAAAAAAAC